rnacentral:lncRNA from 1 species
GAAGGAAGGAAGGAAGGAAGGAAGGAAGGAAGGAAGGAAGGAAGGAAGGAAGGAAGGAAGGAAGGAAGGAAGGAAGGAAAUCUCUCAGUGUCUCUCAGCUGUCACAGUAUGAUUGUAGGUUAGCAGUACUUGAGCCCUGAUCCUUUUAACAACGGUUGGCUGCUCCCCCUUUCUCAUCUCAAGUGGAAUUUCCAACACAAUUGCAUUUUUAUUUGUUUAAGAGCUGGAAUAGCUUUAAGAAGGCUAAAAAUUGGGGCUGCUUACCAUGAAGUAAUCCCUGUUUUCCUGUAG